rnacentral:rRNA from 1 species
GACGAACGCUGGCGGCGUGCUUAACACAUGCAAGUCGAACGGUAAGGCCCUUCGGGGUACACGAGUGGCGAACGGGUGAGUAACACGUGGGUGAUCUGCCCUGCACUUCGGGAUAAGCCUGGGAAACUGGGUCUAAUACCGGAUAGGACCACUGCCUGCAUGGGUGGUGGUGGAGAGCUUUUGCGGUGUGGGAUGGGACCGCGGCCUAUCAGCUUGUUGGUGGGGUGAUGGCCUACCAAGGCGACGACGGGUAGCCGGCCUGAGAGGGUGACCGGCCACACUGGGACUGAGAUACGGCCCAGACUCCUACGGGAGGCAGCAGUGGGGAAUAUUGCACAAUGGGCGCAAGCCUGAUGCAGCGACGCCGCGUGAGGGAUGACGGCCUUCGGGUCGUAAACCUCUUUCAGCACCGACGAAGCGCAAGUGACGGUAGGUGCAGAAGAAGGACCGGCCAACUACGUGCCAGCCGCCGCAGUAA